GGACCGGGCCGUGCGGUCGCGUGGCGUUGUGCCGGAAGGCAUUGCCAUGAGGAAAGUCCGGGCUUCGCAGGGCAGGAUAGCGGAUAACAUCCGCCGAAGGCGACUUCAGGGAAAGUGCAACAGAAAUAUACCGCCUGCGUUACCCCCGCAGGUAAGGGUGGAAAGGUGAGGUAAGAGCUCACCGGGCGCACUGGCGACUUUGCGCCCCUGUAAACCCUAUCCGAAGCAACACCUGUAUGGGAGGCGCAUCAGCGCCGCGCUUGCCCGGCGCAUACGAGAGUAUUCCCGCUGGUGGCUAGAGCCGUGCGGCAACGUACGGUCGAGAUAGAUGACCGCAGGGCCUGCGUGAAGAGCGCAGGCUGCACAGAACCCGGCUUAUAGGCCCGAUCCCUAC
rnacentral:RNase_P_RNA from 1 species